GGGUUGUGAGGUUAAGCGACUAAGCGUACACGGUGGAUGCCCUGGCAGUCAGAGGCGAUGAAGGACGUGCUAAUCUGCGAAAAGCGUCGGUAAGGUGAUAUGAACCGUUAUAGCCGGCGAUGUCCGAAUGGGGAAACCCAGUGCAAUUCGUUGCACUAUCGUUAAGUGAAUACAUAGCUUAACGAGGCGAACCGGGGGAACUGAAACAUCUAAGUACCCCGAGGAAAAGAAAUCAACCGAGAUUCCCCCAGUAGCGGCGAGCGAACGGGGAGCAGCCCAGAGCCUGAAUCAGCAUGUGUGUUAGUGGAACGGUCUGGAAAGGCCGGCGAUACAGGGUGACAGCCCCGUACACAAAAGUGCAU
rnacentral:rRNA from 1 species